GACGAACGCUGGCGGCGUGCUUAACACAUGCAAGUCGAACGGUGAAGGGACCAGCUUGCUGGUUCUGGAUGAGUGGCGAACGGGUGAGUAACACGUGAGUAACCUGCCCCCUUCUUCUGGAUAACCGCAUGAAAGUGUGGCUAAUACGGGAUAUUCUGGGUCUGUCGCAUGGCGGGCCCGGGAAAGAUAUUGCUUCGGUGGGGGAUGGGCUCGCGGCCUAUCAGCUUGUUGGUGGGGUGAUGGCCUACCAAGGCGGGGACGGGUAGCCGGCCUGGGAGGGGGGACGGUCACACUGGGACUGAGACACGGCCCAGACUCCUACGGGAGGCAGCAGUGGGGAAUAUUGCACAAUGGGCGCGAGCCUGAUGCAGCGACGCCGCGUGAGGGAUGGAGGCCUUCGGGGUGUAAACCUCUUUCGCCAGUGAAGCAGGCCUGCUCCUUGUGGGUGGGUUGACGGUAGCUGGAUAAGAAGCGCCGGCUAACUACGUG
rnacentral:rRNA from 1 species